AGGCAGAACACUGUAGAUCCUAUAA
rnacentral:piRNA from 1 species